UACGUAGGGGGCAAGCGUUAUCCGGAUAUACUGGGUGUAAAGGGAGCGUAGGUGGUGUGGUAAGUCAGAUGUGAAAGCCCGGGGCUCAACCCCGGGACUGCAUUUGAAACUGCCAUGCUUGAGUGCAGGAGAGGUAAGUGGAAUUCCUAGUGUAGCGGUGAAAUGAGUAGAUAUUAGGAGGAACACCAGUGGCGAAGGCGGCUUACUGGACUGUAACUGACACUGAGGCUCGAAAGCGUGGGGAGCAAACAGG
rnacentral:rRNA from 1 species